AGAGUUUGAUCCUGGCUCAGAACGAACGCUGGCGGCGUGGAUAAGACAUGCAAGUCGAACGAGAGAAUUGCUAGCUUGCUAAUAAUUCUCUAGUGGCGCACGGGUGAGUAACACGUGAGUAACCUGCCCCCGAGAGCGGGAUAGCCCUGGGAAACUGGGAUUAAUACCGCAUAGUAUCGAAAGAUUAAAGCAGCAAUGCGCUUGGGGAUGGGCUCGCGGCCUAUUAGUUAGUUGGUGAGGUAACGGCUCACCAAGGCGAUGACGGGUAGCCGGUCUGAGAGGAUGUCCGGCCACACUGGAACUGAGACACGGUCCAGACACCUACGGGUGGCAGCAGUCGAGAAUCAUUCACAAUGGGGGAAACCCUGAUGGUGCGACGCCGCGUGGGGGAAUGAAGGUCUUCGGAUUGUAAACCCCUGUCAUGUGGGAGCAAAUUAAAAAGAUAGUACCACAAGAGGAAGAGACGGCUAACUCUGUGCCAGCAGCCGCGGUAAUACAGAGGUCUCAAGCGUUGUUCGGAAUCACUGGGCGUAAAGCGUGCGUAGGCUGUUUCGUAAGUCGUGUGUGAAAGGCGCGGGCUCAACCCGCGGACGGCACAUGAUACUGCGAGACUAGAGUAAUGGAGGGGGAACCGGAAUUCUCGGUGUAGCAGUGAAAUGCGUAGAUAUCGAGAGGAACACUCGUGGCGAAGGCGGGUUCCUGGACAUUAACUGACGCUGAGGCACGAAGGCCAGGGGAGCGAAAGGGAUUAGAUACCCCUGUAGUCCUGGCAGUAAACGGUGCACGCUUGGUGUGCGGGGAAUCGACCCCCUGCGUGCCGGAGCUAACGCGUUAAGCGUGCCGCCUGGGGAGUACGGUCGCAAGAUUAAAACUCAAAGAAAUAGACGGGGACCCGCACAAGCGGUGGAGUAUGUGGCUUAAUUCGAUGCAACGCGAAGAACCUUACCUGGGCUUGACAUGUAAUGAACAACAUGUGAAAGCAUGCGACUCUUCGGAGGCGUUACACAGGUGCUGCAUGGCCGUCGUCAGCUCGUGUCGUGAGAUGUUUGGUUAAGUCCAGCAACGAGCGUAACCCCUGUUGCCAGUUACCAGCACGUGAGGUGGGGACUCUGGCGAGACUGCCCAGAUCAACUGGGAGGAAGGUGGGGACGACGUCAGGUCAGUAUGGCCCUUAUGCCCAGGGCUGCACACGUACUACAAUGCCCAGUACAGAGGGGGCCGAAGCCGCGAGGCGGAGGAAAUCCUAAAAACUGGGCCCAGUUCGGACUGUAGGCUGCAACCCGCCUACACGAAGCCGGAAUCGCUAGUAAUGGCGCAUCAGCUACGGCGCCGUGAAUACGUUCCCGGGUCUUGCACUCACCGCCCGUCA
rnacentral:rRNA from 1 species